GCAGGGGCAUGUCUGCAGGGGACUCUGUCUGGGCCUCAGGGAAGAGACCAGGAAUGCAGGGAUUGAAGCCAGGAAUGUCAAUACGUGAGCGACCAUGACCACAGCCCCUUUCAGACUUGAGCGCGCGGGCUGGGCCCCAAGCCCGGCGUGGUGAAGACAGCUUCUCCCUGAGGCUGGUCACGGAAGGCCUUUGUAACGGGCUUUCGUGGGGCCUGAAAUUCACAUCUACACUUUGAACCUGGAGCUGGACUCCUCACACGUCAGUCUGUCUGCCCGACUGAAUUUUAACUUCUUGAAGGCAUCACCAUGACUUAUCUUCCCUCCUCCAUACGGAGCAGACGCUCAACCACACGUUGUUGGGCCAAUAUACUGACACAAAACUAAUGAACAGAAGAAAAAGCAAAAUUAAUUAUGUAUAUACAGGACCCCCACAAGGACAUGAGACUCAAAGUUAAUGCCACAACUGAGCCUUGAAUGCCAUCCCGAGGAAGGAGAAGGAGGCAGGAGUCUAGAGCCAAAGGGAAGGCAGGCGAUUCACAGGAAAAGCAGAUGUGUGGUGAACAAGCAAAGUAAAAGAAAAUGGAUUCUUCCAAUAUGAUAUUCUUUCACUGCUUUAAAGGUUUUGGAUAUGAUGGGAUCUUGCCAAGCCCAACUUCCUCUUUCAACAGACAGGAAACCUGAACUUUGACAGUAUCAACUAUGUAAGUCACAGGCAAGGAAUUAAGAGCCACUUCCUUCCACUACAGUAGAGUCUGGAAGGAGUCUUCCUAGUCCAAUCCUGAGAAAAGGAACCUAGCCUUCAUCAUCCAGGUGGUCUCGAAAUGCAGUCACCUUUAGAAGAAAGAUGCGGAGGGAUUCUGGAGACAGAUCCACGGAGGGGAAGGCAAUAUGAAGAUGAAACAGAUGCGGUCACAAGCCCAGGAAUGCCAAUGGGACUGGAGGCCAAAAAAGGCCAGAAUAGAUUUUCCCUUGAGCCUCUGGAGGGAGCGUAGCCCAGGGACUUCUGGCCUGCAGAGCUAUAACAGAAUAAAUUUCUAUUUGUGUUAACUUGUUACAGCAGCUACGAAAAACUAACACAACAUGCUACAAUUCUAAAAAUAAAGUGGGGAGCUAUAGUGUAGUAACAGUAAAUAACUUAUGUAACUAAAAUAAUCGAGGUCUUCGUGUGACCCCACACUCAGUUAUGUGGCUGUCACCUCAGAUUUCCUUACUGGAAGAUACAGCAUGAGGGAGCUGAGGUCCUGUUUCCUUCUACAGUGUUCCAACAGUGCUAGGCUCAGUUCUCCAUGCUACAAUUUUGAAGACAUGCUGGUAUAUUUAAACUUGUUUGAAGGAAAAAGACGAAGAAGAGAAAUCAAGCGUGUGACGAAGAGUUGAAAAAACACAGUGCUGUUAGUGCUUAUCACAGAAACACUUUACAAGAACAUGGUAGGUGUCCUCCAACCACACAAAAGACCUUCUGUGGGAAAGGCAAGAGGUGAUGCUCUCUGGCUCUGAAGAUCGGGAUCUGGAUCGGGGGAGAGGCUGUGUGGAUGCAGACUUGGGCUCCAUGAAUUAAAAGCCUCGGUGCUUGAGUGACGCUGGAUCAUGUGACACCUGAAGGGUGAAUGGAUGGAGACCUGCUGGGGAAUGCUAUUCCUGAAGAACGUAACACAGCAGUAAGAGAAUAAAGGCCAUACCACUACUUUUCCCUGGACCUGUUUUCCACCUGACCAGAUGACGCCUGGCAGUCCUCCAUCAGGUCCGAGAGCUCCAAAGAGAAGCCUGGAGGAAGUCGUGAGGGAGAACAGAGAGAGUGGGUAACACCCUCUGGUUUCAGUCACACCUACUGGUUUCAGUCAAAUGGUUCUGUGUCCAGCUGUUUUACAUGGUCAAGUAAUAAGGAAGAUUUCAGCUGAGAAAAGGAUGGGUCAAGGCUUACCACGGUGCGUGGACACAGUGAGAGCUCAUUCUACUAGCUAUGAUUACUGCAAAUUGGAAAAUCAUUAUACUAGUGGUUUUAGUUUCCAGAUUCUGAAUACUCGUGUCAUUUUGGAAAGGCAAGAGCCCAGAAUAAUUAGCCAGGUCAUCAGUCAUUAUGGAUGCAUCCCUCUCAGACCAAGGAGGACUCAACCAUCACUGUAAGAGGGAUCCUGACACGGCAGUGAAGUUGUAAAGAACACAAUGGACACUAACACCUAUCUUUACUGGAAUUUUCCAUUCAAAGAGAGGGAAGAGAUGGAAACAUGCCUUAUAUGGACUCAGGGAUUAAGAGACACGAGACUUCUUGCUAACACCACGGUCGGUCAUCAUCAAAGCCCAGUGGCUACUGUUCGGUGAAUACCUACAUUGCUAAAUAUACGCCAAAAGAAAAUGUU